CAAUAAAUAGGAGUGUAGGAGGAAAGUGGCCUCUCAGCACCAAUCAACAAAAUGAAGGCUAUCAUUCUUAUUUUCAUUCUCUUCGCUUCCCUUCUUAUCUCGUCCCCUUAAUUGCAGCUCGCAAACUGGCUGAUGCGAAUUCUAAAGUAAUUACUCGUGGAACCAAGAAUCCCAACAAACCAGCAGUAUCACCAUGCGGAAAGCCUGGCAAUCCUCGAUAUAGUUCUUGCAUAGGAAAACAAAAGCCCAUCAAGUGUCAUCCAAGAAGCCAAUAUAAGCGUAAUUGCAAGCCAGCUCAAGGACCUUGAAUCAGUAGUACUACUUAAUUAUUCAAGUGGUGUGGUGAAAGUAUGAAUAAAUAGUACCUACUAAAGUUACAUGAAGUAGUACUCAUCAUGUAAUGCUUUGAGAAUAAAUAUUAAUAUUGUAAUGGAGCUCGAUCGAUCGAGCUUGCUUCCUUUGCAGUA